rnacentral:rRNA from 1 species
AUACAGAGGUCUCAAGCGUUGUUCGGAUUCAUUGGGCGUAAAGGGUGCGUAGGCGGCGCGGUAAGUCGGGUGUGAAAUCUCGGAGCUUAACUCCGAAACUGCAUUCGAUACUGCCGUGCUUGAGGACUGGAGAGGAGACUGGAAUUUACGGUGUAGCGGUGAAAUGCGUAGAUAUCGUAAGGAAGACCAGUGGCGAAGGCGGGUCUCUGGACAGUUCCUGACGCUGAGGCACGAAGGCCAGGGGAGCAAACG